CCCUUAGAUGUUCUGGGCCGCACGCGCGCUACACUGAUGAAUGCAACGAGCUCUACCCUUGACCGAAAGGCCCGGGUAAACUUGUGAAACUUCAUCGUGAUGGGGAUAGAUUAUUGCAAUUAUUAAUCUUCAACGAGGAAUUCCUAGUAAACGCGAGUCAUCAGCUCGCAUUGAUUACGUCCCUGCCCUUUGUACACACCGCCCGUCGCACCUACCGAUUGAAUGUUUCGGUGAAGAUUCCGGAUAGGACUGAUUUGAUUUAUUUCAUUUCUGACCUAAAAGCUAUCUAAACCUCAACAUUUAGAGGAAGGUGAAGUCGUAACA
rnacentral:rRNA from 1 species